GGUGGUUUAAUUAAGGAGCCCAUCAGGUUUUUGUUGAAAUUGGAGAGCACUGGCUCGUUAUCCUUCCACUGCACAGAGCAAGAGCUAUUCGUUGGGGAAUGUUGGUAUACUACUACUAGAUAACACAAGUUUUAACAUGAAUUCAUAGUGAAAGAAGCUUCAAAUUCAAAAAAUUAAGUAUAUUAAGAGUUGGAUGAAAAAAAAUGAUGGUUUAAUUAAGGAGCCCAUCAGGUUUUUGUUGAAGUUGGAGAGCACUAGCUCGUUAUCCUUGCACUGCACAGAGCGAAAGCUAUUCGUUACUCUGGUAGCCAAGCAGCCCAUACUUUCGUCUGAAUCACGUGACUCAACUCUGUGCUUGGAUAGGGCAAGCAAGACUAAUGCCAACCAAAGUCCAGCCAUCUGGAACAGCCUAACAACCCACCACAUUGUUGCACCAACUUUGGUUACAAGCCCACGUUACAUGGCUCAGCAUUUAGAAGUCAUGUUGUAUCAUUAUAUGUAUCCACAAAAGUCAUCCUUCACAACCGAUGUGGGAGAAAAAAAUAUGUAAUGAGUAAGUAUACCUUUAUUUGUUGAUGUAUAUUUAGAAGUUAAUUAAAAUAGAAUCUAGUCAACACUAUGAUAUUAUUUCUUUAGUAUAAAAUUACUUUUGUCUAAGAAAUUUAUUUUUUUAGAGAAAAUGUUUUCUCAAAUUAUAUGCGACCAAACAUUGAAAAAAUGAAAAAGCAACAAACAUUCAAUGACACAGAGUGAUGCGUCAAUAUGAAUAAAUAACUCUUUGUUCCCAUUGGAAAAUUGGAGGAUUGGGGCCGAGAACUAAUAUCUUAUCUAUAUGCUUAAAGGCUUAAUUGUGUUUUUGUUCCCGAUUAGAAUCUCAAACAAUCUGGAGUACAAUUAAAAUAUAUCUCCUCUUAAUUAAAUUGCUUUAAGAGCAGCUGAUACAACUCUUUCCUGUGUGAUAUAGGAUGAAAUUGUUGGGACAAAAAAUAAUCAAGCUAAAUGUUAACCGACGUAUAUCCACAUGAAGAGAUGAACAAUCCAUUAUAUAAAAGCUAGAAUACACAAUAUCGGGAUAAAUAACUUCAGACAAUUCACUCAAAAUAAAAGGAGGUGCACACAAGUGUUCAUGCAACAUUUGUAUCUCUCAAAUUCUCCCCCUACACAAAACUCUCAAAAGCCUCUAGAACCACAUUGUAACUUACUAUCAAGUUAGAAGAAAUAAAUUAGAGUCGUUAACAUUUUUCUAAAAAAAAGGGACUAGCCAAAUGUAGAGAAUUUGUGUUCCUUUCAAAAAAAAAGGAAAACUCAAUUAUAGUAAGAAACUAUGGCAAAUACCCAACAUAAAUAUUAAGGGCGGAACAUGGUAUACUAAUACUAGAUAACACAAGUUUUAACAUGAAUUCAAAGAAUUUCACAAAAGGAAAGUAUAGUAGAGUUAGAUGAAAAAAGAAGUGGUGGUUUAAUUAAGGAGUCCAUCGGGUUUUUAUAGAACUUGGAGAGCACUGACUCGUUAUCCUUCCACUGCACAGAGCGAGAGCUAUUCGUUGCUCUAUGAAACCAGCCUUACGCAGCCCACCCCACUCUAAGAGCCAAGCAGUCCAUACUUUCAUUUGAACCACGUGACUCAACUCCGUGCUUGGACAGGGCAAGCCAUACUAAUGGCAACCAAAGUCCAGCCAUCUGGAAUAGCCUAACAUCCCACCACAUUGUUGCUCCCACUUAGGUUACAAGCCCACGUUACAAGGCUCGGCGCUUAGAUGGUUAUGUCAUCAUUAUAUGUACUAACAAAAGUCAUUGUUCACUACCAAUGUGGGAACAAAAUAUGUAAUAACCAACUCUACCUUUAUUUAUUUAUGUAAGUACCUUUGAAAGUUAAUUAAAAUUGAAUCUAGUCAGAUUUUAUGAUAUAUUUUAUUGAACAUUUAGAUAUAUUUACUUGUAGAAAGUGCUGUAAAAAUUUCAAUUGAAUUUGUCAUAAGUUUGCUACAUAAUCCAAGCUCUAUAUAGACCUUUCUUUAUUUACUAAUAAUUGGACAAAAGUACUCCAAAUUAAAAUACGAAACAAUAUUAAAUUUGAAGGAUUAACAAGUGAAACUCAACAAUUAUCCACGUGAAUGGGGAAUGACUAUAUUAUGAAUGUAUACAUGAAAAAUAUGUGUGAUAAUAAGGAUUAAUCGUAUUUGAUAAAACUAUAUUUUUCCUUUAAAUUUCUUCGUAGUGAACAUGCAUCAGGUACACUUGGUUAGUCAGUAGCUUUGACAUUCUUCAACCGUCAAACUUUGAUGUAUACCUAGAUAACAUAUGCCACACAAUUAACAUUUAACUGUUCUUGAUUCUCAUAUUUUUGUGUUCGUUUCAGUCAUGAACAACACAUGAUUUCAUGCGUGUGUAGAAUUGGCCUUCACUUAUUCUCCUUUAAGUGGCUUACACUUCACACUCACAUAAUUAAUUUUAAAAUGUGUGAGCCGUAGAUACAUUGUUUGAUCAUGUCAUGUCAAAUAUAUAAAUCAUUAAAAAAAAUGUUUCCUCGUUUCCUAAACAUUGUCGUAUAUUGUGAAUGGAUUAAAUUUAAUAACAACGUUGAAUUGACAUUCAUAACGUUGUUAGAUAUCUUUGAAGCUAAAUUUUGGAAUCUCCAUGUAGGUAAAGUUAUCAUUAUGAUGACUUAUUCUUGGACAUAACCCCUUCUAUAAUUAGGUCUUUGGUAAGUGAUACUUACACAUUAUUCUGACUUUACGUAGUUCAUUAAUGUGAUAAUUUCACUAGAGUAAUUGUCUAACAAUACUAUAUCUUCAACUCUUCAUCAUAUGUGACGAGAUUCUACUCUAUGCAUAAUAUUUUCAGCCCUUCUUAUUUCAUCUUGACUAUCAUAAUUAUAUAUAUAUUAGCCAAAAUAAAGGUGCAAACAUGCGUGUUCACAAAAGAAAAUACAUUUUAUUUUUAAAAAUUCUGCAAAUUUUAAAUAAAUCACGUGAACGGGUGGAAAGAAAUAUUUGUGAAUUUUUUAUUAAAUUCCACGUAAAUUAAUAUCAGAAAAAAUAUAUCAAUAAAUCAGAAGUACUUCUAUAUGUAUAUAAGCAUGAAAAUUUUCAAUCCGCCUCCUCUCCAUUUCUCCUCUUUUCAUUUUCUUCAAGUUCUAGCUUGGAUUGGAGAUACAUGUCAUAGUUUAGAAUUAACGGUUGAGAUGUAAUUGAUUAAAUCAAAGUCCUAACUAUAGUUAUUUACUUCCAUAUGUUUAUUUCUUAAAUAUUUUUGCAAUCCAUUAUAUUUUGUCUAGAUAUAUUAAAAGUUCGAUCUGCGUACAUUGGAACACACCGUAACUAGAAAAAAGUUAAAAAUUAGAAAUAGUCAUUUUUUGAAGGAAUAUAAAAAUCUGGAAAUUUGUUAAGUGUGUUAAAGUUGAGUUAUUUGGUCAACUUCAAACGACCAUAACUCCUAGACCGGGAUGAGUUAGGUGUGUUUCCAGAUACCGUAGGAAAGAUCUUGGAAAAAUCCUUCCAACGCCGCCGAGUUUGCGCGAUUCCAAGUUCAUUGAGUGAGAUAUGCCAAUUGGAAGUUGGGUUGUUCAAAUAAGGAAAUAUUCAAUCCGGAUUUUAAAGGGUGUUUUGGCCUUUUCCUUACCUAAUUAUUUUAUUUAGUUUUUGUUUAAUUAAUUGGGGUCAAAUCAUAUUAUUCAGUUUUAGAAAAGUUGAAGUUUCACGCUAGGGCUUGGAGAAAAGAGAAAAGAGGAGAAAGGAAAAGAAAGUUCAAGAUUAGACGUCUUCGUAAGGAAUCGCUUGUGAAUUUCGUCAAGGGUGAUCCCUAUGAGGUAAAUGAGAUCACACAGCGUUGGAUCCAUUCGCCCACGCGCCAAACUUGUUAUAGUUCAGUGAUAGUACUCGUCCUAAAAGAGUUAGAAUUUAAUGUUCUUGAGUUCUGUUCUUAAGUUAUUUUCAUUCUUGAAUUCACAUGUGAUUGAUGGGUUUGAUUGAGACAUUUAAGCAAUGUUAAGAAUUGUUUUUAGUUAGAUUUUAGUGUACAUGCUUUGGGUAUCUGAAUCUAAGAAAGUAUUAAGAAAAGGAAUCGAUUUAAUGCAAUUUAGGAUCAUAAAACAAGUUGAAAAUUCGUUAGACGCACCUGGAGAGGGCCAGGCGCCUCGCGCCCCCAUAGCGCCAGGGAGGCUUGGGGCGGCACGCUUGCAAUGCACCCAAAAUGAACCCCAGAAAGUUGGGGCGCCAAUCACACGUCGGGAUCGUCAUUUUUCGCCAUUUUUUUUGUCGUAUAGCCUAUUUAAGUCCUUCUAAAGUGUACUAAUACUUUCCAUUGAUUCUAAUACUCUAAGUGACUUCUAGAAAUCAUCCAAAAACAUGAAUCAUAACCUUGAAUUCAUAAAUUCAAAUUCAAGGAAAGUUAAGAGUCAAGUCUAAGAAGUUCUUAGUGUCUUUUAAGAAGUCUUUUGCAAAUGCUUUGAACUUUAUUUUAGGACUUAAAGUUCAAGUUGGGUAAAGAUACUUAAAGUUCAAGUUGGGUAAAGAAUAAAUAGUGAAGUUUGAAGUUCAUUUCUUCAAAGAAGUAUAUGAGGAUUAUAUACUCCCAAAGAGUUUAAAAUGUUUUCACAUUUUAAAUAAGAAUGAAAACUGAGAUUUCCAAAUAGUCUUUGAGCUAGUAUUCAGAAAAGAGUAAAAGCUUUCCCUAUUAAGCAAGAGAGGAAAUAUUGAUUUCCAAUAUAGUCAUUCAACUAAGUUUUUGAGUAAUUAUCUCAAAUCAAAGAAAGAACUAUGUUUUUAAAACGUAAGAGUUAGUCAUAUUUUGAAAAUAGUAUUGAGCAGUGAUAUGAGAGAGAGUUCAGACAAUUCACAAUUUCCAUAAACCAUUUAGCUGUCAUGGAUAGAAAAGGGUCAAUGACCAAUCAAGUAGAAAGUCUUUAGGUGAUUACAUUUGGUUGCAAGAAAAAUGUUUUGAGCAAAAAAUAUAUUUGGGAAAAAAGUUUUAAAAAAUAAUUAGUUUUUAUGCUAUUUUGUUAUGUUUGAUAAGCAGAAAUAUUGUUCUAGAAAAGUUCGGGUAUAAUCUAAGAUAAAUAUUAUUAGACUUGAAGGUGAGGGUAGGAUUUGGGGUUCGUGGGAAUGGACGCUAUGGGGUGGAGUAUGUGUUCAAGGGUCGGGAGGAGACAAAUGGCGUAGGAUGUCCUUUAUGAAAUUUGUUUUUUCUACUUUUUACUUGAAAAGUCAUUUUCUUUUUUAAUUUUUAUGAAAACUUAUUUUCCAAAAGAAAAUAUUUUCCCAAAUUUUAACCAACCAAAUAUUGAAAAAUUGAACAACAUUUGCCGGAGAUUAUUUUCCUCCAUACCAAAUACAUCCUUAUGGAGUGAUCAAACGACCCUUAUUUAGCCAAUACAUUCAGUGACACAUAGUGUGAUAUACGUUAGUGUGAAUAUGUAACUCCUUAUUAUUUCCUUCGGAAUCGAAGGAUUGGGACUAACAACUAACACCAAAACACUCAUCCACAUGCUUAAGGGCUAAAUUAAAUCUUAUUCCUUUUAUGAUUUUAUAUGGUUACAAUCUCAACCAACGUAGAGUAUAGUAAAAAUGUAUUUUUUUUUAAUUAAAUUGCUUGAAAAGCAAUCGAUGCAACUCUCCUGUUGAAGUUCUUUGAAUAUGAGAGGCUUCUCUCAGUAUGGAUUCAUGUUAAAACUUGUGUUAGUAGUAGUAAAACCAUGUUUAUUUGCUAAUAUUUAAUGUUAUGAGUUGCAUCGAUUGCUUUUCAAGCAAUUUAAUUAAAAAAAAAUACAUUUUUACUAUACUCUACGUUGGUUGAGAUUGUAACCAUAUAAAAUCAUAAAAGGAAUAACAUUAAAUAUUAGCAAAUAAACAUGGUUUUACUACUACUAACACAAGUUUUAACAUGAAUCCAUAGUGAGAGAAGCCUCUCAUAUUCAAAGAACUUCAACAGGAGACUAUUUCAUACACUUUUAUCUCACAUUUAGGUAAACUUGGACCAAGCACCAAUUAUAGAAAAGAAAAAAGUGGUGGUUUAAUUAGGUAGUCCAUCAGGUUUUUGUUGAACUUGGAAAGCACUGACUCGUUAUCCUUCCACUGCACAGACUGGGAGUUAUUCGUUGCUCUGUGAAACCAGCCUCACGCAGUCCACCCCACUCUAAGAGCCAAGCAGCCCAUACUUUCGUUUGGACCACGUGACUCAACUCCGUGCUUGGAUAGGGCAAGCCAGACUAAUGCCAACCAAAGUCCAGCCAUCUGGAACAGCCUAACAUCCCACUACAUUGUUGCCCCAACUUAGGUUACAAGCCCACGUUACAAGGCUCGGCAUUUA
rnacentral:lncRNA from 1 species